AAAUUGAAGAGUUUGAUCAUGGCUCAGAUUGAACGCUGGCGGCAGGCCUAACACAUGCAAGUCGAACGGUAACAGGAAUCAGCUUGCUGAUUCGCUGACGAGUGGCGGACGGGUGCGUAAUGUCUGGGAAACUGCCUGAUGGAGGGGGAUAACUACUGGAAACGGUAGCUAAUACCGCAUAACGUCGCAAGACCAAAGAGGGGGACCUUCGGGCCUCUUGCCAUCGGAUGUGCCCAGAU
rnacentral:rRNA from 1 species